AGCAAAUACUAUCGUCAAACUGCUAUAGUUUUUCGGCAAGGAAGCUGUGGAAAGAUGGAGAUGGAAGUAAGAGCAGUAAGAGGACUGGAAGGAUGCUACGUUUCACUACCACUUCAUCUCAUUCAAACUCUUCAAUCCACUUCUUCUUCUGCUUCUCUGUUUUCAUUUCUAGCUCUUGAGCUUCGUUCAAUUGCCAACAAUGAUGACGUCUGGUACGUUGCUUGGUCUGGCUCUGCAUCCUCUAGCUCUUCCGCCAUUGAGAUUGCUCAGCAAUUUGCAGAAUGCAUUCAUCUGCCAGACAAUACAACUGUUCAAGUACGGGCCAUUCCUAAUCUUCCAAAAGCCACUCUAGUGAUGAUGGAACCCGACACCGAGGAUGAUUGGGAAGUUCUAGAGCUAAAUGCAGAGCAUGCAGAGGCAGCCAUUUUGAAGCAGGUUGGAAUUGUCCAUGAAGCCAUGAGAUUUCCUUUGUGGUUGCAUGGGCAUACAAUCAUUACAUUUUCGGUGGUCUCAACCUUCCCCAAGAAACCAAUGGUGCAACUUGUGCCAGGGACUGAAGUUGCUGUUGCUCCCAAGAGACGCAGAAGGCCUAUUGUUUCAUCUGAAAGCUCCUCUAAAGAGAACCCGGUUGUAAAGGCUCUACUGCGUAUCCAAGAUGGAGACAGUAGAUUUUUUCACAAAUAUGGGGUCAAUGACACUGAGAUGGGGGUGGUUCUCACUUCUGCUGUCUUUAUUCAUCCAGAAACAGCUAAAAAUGUUUCACUGCAUUCUCUUCAACCUGUAAUUUUAGAGCAAAGAUUGGUUAAGAAGGACAGGAAACUGAAUCAUGAAACGAAUAGCUCCUCCAAGAAUGGCAAUUCAACUGUGAACGAAGUUGAUCAGGUGCCAACUGACAAGCAGGAAAUCAGACAGGCUGUUGUUCGUCUUCUAAUAUCAGAUUCUGUGGCUAAAGGACACAUCAUGCUUUCUAAAUCUUUACGCUAUUAUCUGAGAGCAGGCCUGCAUUCUUGGAUACAUGUCAAGAGUUGCAGUGUUAUUUUACAACAAGAUGCUCCUUCGUUUGUUCUUUCUCCUUGUCAAUUUAAGAUGGCUGGGAAGGUCCCUGAAAAUGGCAAUUUUGAAUAUCUUCAUGGCCAAAAGGAAAAUCACACAGACAAUUUAUCUCUCAAGACAAACUCAGACACCCAUUAUGACUUGACUGACUGGUCAUUCCAUGAGAGAAUUAUUGCAGUCCUUUCGGAUGAAUCAUCAGAUCAUCAUGAUGAAGGAACUUCUGUUAGCUCAAGUAGUAGAAAGGGGUUAUCUGUUCUUCUUCGUGCAUGGGUUUUGGCACAACUCAAAGCCAUUACAACUUUUUCUAGAACAGAGCUAAAUUCAAUUGUUUUGGGAAGUAAGACGUUGCUUCACUUUGAGGUGAAAGGCGUUGAGUUAGCAGACCAUGCCAAACUGCAUGCGUCACGUAACGAAUCUUUCAAAAUAAGAAAGAGAGUCGGAGAAUCAGUAGUUGAUAUCCUGUAUGUUCUGUCCGUUCCUGAGGAUUCUAUGCAAGGUGGAGUAGCUUAUGAGCUUGAUUUUUCUGAAGGAAACAGGACGAGCAUGAGUCAGAGCAGCUUAGAGUUCUUUCUUGAAAACUUGUGUCUUGGUGAAGGUUUACCUCUUUAUUAUGUUAAAGAAAGAAUAUCUGCCAAGAGCUGUAACAUGGAGAUUGAUUCUUUGAGCUGGAUGGGCACAACGGCUGCAGAUGUAACUAAUAGGUUGAUGGUGUUAUUGUCGCCUUCCUCUGGCAUGUUCUUGAGUACUUAUAAUCUUCCUUUCCCUGGACAUGUGUUGAUUUAUGGACCUCCGGGUUCUGGGAAGACAUUAUUAGCCACGACUGUUGCAAAAACUAUUGAAGAACAUGAAGAUGUCUUGGCACACAUAGUUUAUGUAUGCUGUUCCAGACUUGCUUCGAGUAAGUCCCCAACUAUCCAUCAAACUCUCUCUAGGUACAUAUCUGAAGCAUUGGAUCAUACUCCUUCCCUCGUGGUCCUUGACGAUCUUGAUAGCAUUAUAGCUUCACCUAAUAACUCAGAAGACUACCACUCUUCACCUUCUUCUACAAUGCUGAUGGGAUUUCUCACAGACAUCUUGGAUGAAUGUGAGGAGAAAAGGAAGAACUCAUGUGGAAUUGGUCCCAUUGCAUUCAUAGCUUGUGUGCAGACCCUAACUAGCAUUCCGCAGACCUUGAGCUCCUCUGGAAGGUUUGACUUUCAUGUGCAACUGGCUGCUCCUGCAGCUGCUGAACGUGGCGCUUUACUGAAACAUGAGAUUCAUAAACGUUCUUUGUUAUGUUCUGAUGAGAUUUUGUUAGAUAUAGCUUCCUCAUGUGAUGGAUAUGAUGCAUAUGAUCUGGAAAUACUGGUUGAUAGGUCCGUUCAUGCUGCCAUUGGCCGCUUUGUGUCCCAUGGCUUGGCUUUUGGGAACAACAAAAAGCCUACUUUGGUUAAGGAUGAUUUUCUACAAGCAAUAAAAGGGUUUCUGCCAAUUGCUAUGCGAGAUAUUACUAAAUCUGCUUCUGAGGAAGGCCAUGGAGGCUGGCAGGAUGUUGGUGGUCUAACUGAAAUUCAGAACUCUAUCAAAGAGAUGAUUGAAUUGCCUUCGAAGUUUCCGAUGAUCUUUUCACAAGCUCCUUUACGGAUGAGGUCUAAUGUUCUCUUAUAUGGCCCUCCUGGGUGUGGUAAAACACAUAUUGUUGGCGCUGCUGCUGCUGCAUGUUCACUACGAUUCAUCUCCGUGAAAGGGCCUGAGCUGCUGAAUAAAUACAUCGGUGCUUCUGAGCAAGCAGUACGUGAUAUAUUCUCGAAAGCAGCUGCUGCAGCACCAUGCCUUCUCUUUUUUGAUGAAUUUGACUCCAUUGCUCCGAAAAGAGGUCAUGACAAUACUGGUGUGACCGAUCGAGUUGUUAAUCAAUUCCUAACGGAGUUAGACGGUGUUGAAGUGUUAACUGGGGUAUUUGUUUUUGCUGCCACAAGUCGGCCUGAUUUACUUGAUGCUGCCCUGCUGCGACCUGGUAGAUUAGACCGCCUACUUUUCUGUGAUUUUCCAUCACCACAAGAGAGAUUAGAUAUUCUUAGAGUUCUUUCUCGAAAGUUACCCUUGGCCAAUGAUGUCAAGUUGGAAGCUAUAGCUGGAAAGACGGAAGGAUUUAGUGGAGCAGACCUCCAAGCUCUCUUAUCAGAUGCACAGCUUGCAGCUGUUCACGAUCUUCUGAACAGCAAAGAUGCUGAUAGGCCUGGAAAUAUGAUGCCGGUCAUCACCAAUGCCCUCUUGCAGACGGUUGCUGCCAAUGCAAGACCGUCAGUUUCAGAAGCUGAAAAACACAGAUUAUACAGCAUUUAUGGCCAGUUCUUGGACGCUAAAAGAUCUGCUGCUGCACAGUCGAGAGAUGCGAAAGGGAAAAGAGCAACUCUUGCAUAACUGAUCGUGGAUUACGUUUGCAAUACCAGGACUCAUGGGGCUGGUCGGCCACCCACCGACUUGAUAUGCAUAUAGGUGAGCAUGGCAUGGACCAAGAACUUUACCUGGUAAAUGAGGUUGGUGACUUUUACCCGGUUAAUGUUUACAUGGUCAUUGCCGCUUACUAAUAAUCUUACUAUGUCAUUUUCAUAGUCAAGAAUCCUAUCUGGCUAGGGUGGUCGUUUACUAAACACUUACCAGCAAGAGUCACCUACCUUAUCGGGUAACAUUCUUGGCCACUGAAAUGAAUCAUUGUAAGCGUCCCCAGUAAUCGUUUACUGGGUAAGAAGACUCAUUCAUCAGGUAAGAUUCUUGGUCCCUAUGCUCACUCAGUAAGGUAAGCAUCAGGUGAUAAACGCUUACUGAUAAGUGUUUGAUAAACAAUUUCUUAGUUUAAGUUGGCCCAAUACCGUCAUCUUUGUAAUAGAUAAAAGGGGGUUAUUAGUUCAAAAUGAAAACUACAAUGAUUGGGUUCUUAUUGUCUGGGACCUAAUAUCAAAAUUACGUUUUAGAAAACAUACACAUUAUAAUAUACUAGAAGGGUACUCGCACAAUGCAGCGAGAUAAAUCUC